UCUUCUUGUAUUAAUUGGAGGUCGGGCCUGUCCACUGAAAAUUUUUGAAGGACCGCGGUAUUUUGACCGUGCAAAGGUAGCAUAAUCAUUAGUCUUUUAAUUGAAGGCUGGAAUGAAUGGUUUGACGAAAUAACAGCUGUCUCAAUAUAAUUUAAUUGAAUUUUACUUUUAAGUUAAAAGGCUUAAAUUUUGAUAAGGGACGAGAAGACCCUAUAGAUCUUUAUGAUGUAUAUUAUAUUAUUAAAUUUGGGAGUUAUUUAUUAUUUUAUAAUUUAUAUUAUUUUAUUGGGGUGAUAUGAGAAUAUAUAAGCUUCUUAAUUUUUAACUUUGAUAGAAGAAUAAUUGAUCCUUUAAUAUGGAAUUAAGAUUAAGAUACCUUAGGGAUAACAGCGUAAUCUUAUUGGAGAGUUCUUAUUGAUAAUGAGGAUUGCGACCUCGAUGUUGGAUUAAGAAUAUAAUUUGGUGUAGGUGCUAAAAUAUUAUUGGUCUGUUC
rnacentral:rRNA from 1 species